GGAGUCUGGGCCGUAUCUCAGUCCCAAUGCGGCUGUUCAUUCUCUCAAACCAGCUACUGAUCGUUGCCUUGGUAUGCCGUUACCACACCAACUAGCUAAUCAGACGCGGACCUCUCUUUUAGCGACCGAAGCCUUUCCCGACUUAAUCAUGCGACCAAAUCGUAUUAUGCGGUAUUAAUCGAAAUUUCUUUCGGCUAUCCCCCACUAUAAGGCAAGUUGUCCACGCGUUACUCACCCGUCCGCCACUAGAAUCAUGACCGAGGCCACUCAUCUCGUUCGACUUGCAUGUGUUAAGCGCGCCGCCAGCGUUCAUC
rnacentral:rRNA from 1 species